AGCAAAUACAUCACUUAGAUUUGUAAUAAUAGCUAAUAUAUUCUUAUUAGUGUUAAGGUAUCACCAACAUUCCUUGUUUAGUCAUUAUUUGGGGCCCAAACCAUAUGUCUUGUAGAUUUUGUUGCAUCCCUUUUUGACUUUUCAAGAAUUGAAAAAAUCUUGUAUCAUUUUUUUUGUCAAUUUGCAAACCACGCCUUGCGCCACAAAUUCUUAGUGGCAUUGUUACUCCCCUCUCCCUUA
rnacentral:lncRNA from 1 species